AUUGAACGCUGGCGGCAGGCCUAACACAUGCAAGUCGAGCGAGCGGCGGCCGGGUGAGUAAUGUAUGGGACUCUGCCCGAUAGAGGGGGAUAACUACUGGAAACGGUGGCUAAUACCGCCUACUAUCGGAUGUGCCCAUAUGGGAUUAGCUGGUAGGUGGGGUAAAGGCUCACCUAGGCGACGAGCCCUAGCUGGUCGGAGAGGAUGAUCAGCCACACUGGUACUGAGACACGGCCCAGACUCCUACGGGAGGCAGCAGUGGGUAAUAUUGCACAAUGGGCGCAAGCCUGAUGCAGCCAUGCCGCGUGUAUGAAGAAGGCCUUAGGGUUGUAAAGUACUUUCAGCGGGGAGGCGUUACCCGCAGAAGAAGCACCGGCUAACUCCGUGCCAGCCGCCGCGGUAAUAC
rnacentral:rRNA from 1 species